rnacentral:rRNA from 1 species
UGGGGGAAUUUUGGACAAUGGGCGAAAGCCUGAUCCAGCAAUGCCGCGUGUGUGAAGAAGGCCUUCGGGUUGUAAAGCACUUUUGUCCGGAAAGAAAUCCUUGGCUCUAAUACAGUCGGGGGAUGACGGUACCGGAAGAAUAAGCACCGGCUAACUACGUGCCAGCAGCCGCGGUAAUACGUAGGGUGCAAGCGUUAAUCGGAAUUACUGGGCGUAAAGCGUGCGCAGGCGGUUUGCUAAGACCGAUGUGAAAUCCCCGGGCUCAACCUGGGAACUGCAUUGGUGACUGGCAGGCUAGAGUAUGGCAGAGGGGGGUAGAAUUCCACGUGUAGCAGUGAAAUGCGUAGAGAUGGUGGAGGAAUACCGAUGGCGAAGGCAGCCCCCUGGGCCAAUACUGACGCUCAUGCACGAAAGCGUGGGGAGCAAAACAGGAUUAGAUACCCUGGUAGUCCACGCCCUAAAACGAUGUCAACUAGUUGUUGGGGAUUCAUUUCCUUAGUAACGUAGCUAACGCGUGAAGUUGACCGCCUGGGGAGUACGGUCGCAAGAUUAAAACUCAAAUGAAUUGACGGGGU